CAGUGGUGCACGCUCGGUGACAUUGUAAGGUACCAGACUUCUAAAAUUAUGAAGUUACGGUGUACAUUUGGUUGGAAAGCCAUUUGAAUGGUUCCGAUGAAGUUCAGUGAAGUUCGAGAGUAUUCGGGCGUUUCAGUGCGCGUAGGCGCGAAAACAGAACCCAAAAGGCUAUGUUGGACCGAGAACUAAAUCUGACAUUAGCGUGGAUGAAAAGAGGAUUUAAAUACGUUCGAAAAUAUGUUUUGAGAGUCUCAGUUCGAUUUGAAAAGAAUCAGAUGCCAAACGAGUGAAAAUGAGCGAAAACGGACCCCAAAACUGAAA
rnacentral:lncRNA from 1 species